rfam:Hordeum vulgare subsp. vulgare, WGS project CAJW01000000 data, contig: morex_contig_37857
UAAGUACUCCCUCUGUCCCAAAAUUCUUGUCUUAAAUUUGUCUAGAUAAAUUUAAGACAAGAAUUUUGGGACGGAGGGAGUACCAC